CAAGUCGAGCGGUAACACAGAGAGCUUGCUCUCGGGUGACGAGCGGCGGACGGGUGAGUAAUGUCUGGGAAACUGCCUGAUGGAGGGGGAUAACUACUGGAAACGGUAGCUAAUACCGCAUAACGUCGCAUGACCAAAGAGGGGGACCUUCGGGCCUCUUGCCAUCAAAUGUGCCCAGAUGGGAUUAGCUAGUAUGUGGGGUAACGGCUCACCUAGGCGACAAUCCCUAGCUGGUCUGAGAGGAUGACCAGCCACACUGGAACUGAGACACGGUCCAGACUCCUACGGGAGGCAGCAGUGGGGAAUAUUGCACAAUGGGCGCAAGCCUGAUGCAUCCCUGCCCGCGUGUAUCAAGAACGCCUUCGGGUUGUAAAGUACUUUCAGCGAGGAGGAAGGCGUUAAGGUUAAUAACCUUAGCGAUUGACGUUACUCGCAUAAGAAGCACCGGCUAACUCCGUGCCAGCAGCCGCGGUAAUACAGAGGGUGCCAGGUGCGAAAGCGUGGGGAGCAAACAGGAUUAGAUACCCUGGUAGUCCACGCCGUAAACGAUGUCGACUUGGAGGUUGUGCCCUUGAGGCGUGGCUUCCGGAGCUAACGCGUUAAGUCGACCGCCUGGGGAGUACGGCCGCAAGGUUAAAACUCAAAUGAAUUGACGGGGGCCCGCACAAGCGGUGGAGCAUGUGGUUUAAUUCGAUGCAACGCGAAGAACCUUACCUACUCUUGACAUCCAGAGAACUUAGCAGAGAUGCUUUGGUGCCUUCGGGAACUCUGAGACAGGUGCUGCAUGGCUGUCGUCAGCUCGUGUUGUGAAAUGUUGGGUUAAGUCCCGCAACGAGCGCAACCCUUAUCCUUUGUUGCCAGCGGUCCGGCCGGGAACUCAAAGGAGACUGCCAGUGAUAAACUGGAGGAAGGUGGGGAUGACGUCAAGUCAUCAUGGCCCUUACGAGUAGGGCUACACACGUGCUACAAUGGCAUAUACAAAGAGAAGCGACCUCGCGAGAGCAAGCGGACCUCAUAAAGUAUGUCGUAGUCCGGAUUGGAGUCUGCAACUCGACUCCAUGAAGUCGGAAUCGCUAGUAAUCGUAGAUCAGAAUGCUACGGUGAAUACGUUCCCGGGCCUUGUACACACCGCCCGUCACACCAUGGGAGUGGGUUGCAAAAGAAGUA
rnacentral:rRNA from 1 species